AAGUCGUAACAAGGUUUCCGUAGGUGAACCUGCGGAAGGAUCAUUAACAAAUCAUUUGUGUUCGGUGGUGUGUAAAAGCCCGCUGAUACAUUAGCGCUCUGCCUCGAGGAAGUUCUCUUCCUUGGGCAUUGUGUAUGCCGUGUUAAGUGGCUUUCGAGUCGUUUGACCGGCAAAAUAGACGCUUGUAUUGUUUGACUGAUUACGAGAGAAAACUAAAUUAAAAGACAACUUUUAACAAUGGAUCUCUUGGCUCUU
rnacentral:misc_RNA from 1 species